CAGGAGUCUCCUGGGAGUGCUGGCUGUUCUCUGUCUCCUGGCCACCGUUCUUGAAGUGCUCACCUGGUACCUACCUGCUCCUCGUUACCGACGAGGUGCUUGGAAAUGUGUUUUGUUCUUCUCUCUUUACCACAACUGAGAGGUGUCUUUAGGCACCGUGACCCUGACCACCCCACCACUAUCACCUGCCUCCCUGGCAUCAGGGUGCUGACCAUGUGCUGGAUUCUCGUGUGCCACCAGUACGAGACGUCAAUAACCUUCUCUGUGAACACCUUCGACUUUCUCAGG